CCUACGGGAGGCAGCAGGGGGGAAUAUUGCACAAUGGGCGCAAGCCUGAUGCAGCAACGCCGCGUGAGGGAUGAAGGCCUUCGGGUUGUAAACCUCUUUUAGCAGGGAAGAAGCGAAAGUGACGGUACCUGCAGAAAAAGCACCGGCUAACUACGUGCCAGCAGCCGCGGUAAUACGUAGGGUGCAAGCGUUAAUCGGAAUUACUGGGCGUAAAGCGUGCGCAGGCGGUUGUGCAAGACAGGUGUGAAAUCCCCGGGCUUAACCUGGGAACUGCACUUGUGACUGCACGGCUUGAGUGCGGCAGAGGGGGAUGGAAUUCCGCGUGUAGCAGUGAAAUGCGUAGAUAUGCGGAGGAACACCGAUGGCGAAGGCAAUCCCCUGGGCCUGCACUGACGCUCAUGCACGAAAGCGUGGGUAGCAAACAGGAUUAGAUACCCUGGUAGUCCACGCCCUAAACGAUGUCAACUAGGUGUUGGGUGGGUAAAACCAUUUAGUACCGUAGCUAACGCGUGAAGUUGACCGCCUGGGGAGUACGGCCGCAAGGUUAAAACUCAAAGGAAUUGACGG
rnacentral:rRNA from 1 species